ACGUACCGUCCAAACGUUAUUCGGAAUUACUGGGCUUAAAGGGUACGUAGGCGGCGCUGUCAGUCGGGUGUGAAAUCCCUCGGCCCAACCGAGGAACUGCGCCCGAUACUGCAGUGCUUGAGGGAGACAGAGGUAAGCGGAACUGAUGGUGGAGCGGUGAAAUGCGUAGAUAUCGUCUGGAACGCCGAAGGUGAAAACAGCUCGCUGGGGCCGCGCUGACGCUGAGACACGAAAGCCAGGGGAGCGAACAGGA
rnacentral:rRNA from 1 species